CCCCUUCCCAACGCCGAAGGAAUCCCUAUAUGGGGUCGUGCCGGGUUUGACCCGGCUAUGGCGAUAAACUGCGGCGUGCAAUAGACGCAGCGGACCCGGGGGCGGUACCCGGCGGCUCCACCACCUCUCUCGUUCCGGCUCUUGGGCCAGGCGGGAAAGAUGACGGGGCCGAACUAGGAUCGACGUGUGUUGAAAAGCGUUGUUUUCGCCCGGGCUGAGUAACCCGUUCAAGGCUCAAAACCAACAAGUGCCAACGACAACGAAGCACUUGCUCUCGCCGCGUAACCUGACGGCCUAACGGCCUGAUCUUACAAAGCGAAAGCGCGGCUGGACACGCCGGUCAACAGAAGUGAUACCAGCGGCCCGGGGGGUGCCGGGCAACAGAAAUCCCCCCACC
rnacentral:tmRNA from 2 species